rnacentral:rRNA from 1 species
GAUGAACGCUGGCGGCGUGCUUAACACAUGCAAGUCGAACGAUGAAGCCCAGCUUGCUGGGUGGAUUAGUGGCGAACGGGUGAGUAACACGUGAGUAACCUGCCCUUAACUCUGGGAUAAGCCUGGGAAACUGGGUCUAAUACCGGAUAGGAGCGUCCACCGCAUGGUGGGUGUUGGAAAGAUUUAUCGGUUUUGGAUGGACUCGCGGCCUAUCAGCUUGUUGGUGAGGUAAUGGCUCACCAAGGCGACGACGGGUAGCCGGCCCGAGAGGGGGACCACGCACCCUGGUCCUACGACACGGCGCAGACUCCUACGGGGGGCAGCAGGGGGGAGUAUUGCACAGUGGGCGCACGUCUGAUGCAGAGACGCCGCGUUAGUGAUGACGGCCUUCGGGUAGUAAACAGCUUUCGGUAAGGAAGCAGCGGAAGUGACGGUACCUAAAGAAGAAGCACCGGCUAACUACGUG